UGACCUCAGAUCAGGCCAGAUCACC
rnacentral:rRNA from 4 species